rnacentral:rRNA from 1 species
UAGGGAAUCUUCGGCAAUGGACGGAAGUCUGACCGAGCAACGCCGCGUGAGUGAAGAAGGUUUUCGGAUCGUAAAGCUCUGUUGUUAGAGAAGAACGCUGGUAGGAGUGGAAAAUCUACCAAGUGACGGUAACUAACCAGAAAGGGACGGCUAACUACGUGCCAGCAGCCCCGGUAAUACGUAGGUCCCGAGCGUUGUCCGGAUUUAUUGGGCGUAAUGCGAGCGCAGGCGGUUCUUUAAGUCUGAAGUUAAAGGCAGUGGCUUAACGAUUGUACGCUUUGGAAACUGGAGGACUUGAGUGCAGGAGGGGGGAGUGGAAUUCCAUGUGUAGCGGUGAAAUGCGUAGAUAUAUGGAGGAACACCGGUGGCGAAAGCGGCUAUCUGGUCGGUAACUGACGCUGAGGCUCGAAAGCGUGGGGAGCAAACAGG